AACGAACGCUGGCGGCAGGCUUAACACAUGCAAGUCGAACGCCCCGCAAGGGGAGUGGCAGACGGGUGAGUAACGCGUGGGAACGUGCCCUUCGCUUCGGAAUAGCCCCGGGAAACUGGGAGUAAUACCGAAUACGCCGUACUGGGAAAGAUUUAUCGGCGAAGGAUCGGCCCGCGUUAGAUUAGCUAGUUGGCGGUGUAAUGGACCACCAAGGCUACGAUCUAUAGCUGGUCUGAGAGGAUGAUCAGCCACACUGGGACUGAGACACGGCCCAGACUCCUACGGGAGGCAGCAGUGGGGAAUCUCGGACAAUGGGCGCAAGCCUGAUCCAGCCAUGCCGCGUGAGUGAAGAAGGCCUUAGGGUUGUAAAACUCUUUCGCCGGAGAAGAUAAUGACGGUAUCCGGAGAAGAAGCCCCGGCUAACUUCGUGCCAGCCGCCGCGGUAAAAC
rnacentral:rRNA from 1 species